rnacentral:lncRNA from 1 species
CUCAUCCAAAAGGCAGUUCCUUACAAUAAUCUUUGAAUGAAGGAGGUAGCUCGCUAUCUCGUUCUUAAAAAAGAACAAUCUCCAGAAAAUUUAUCAUUUAUACAGCUUUGACUCUAAAGUCCUGUUUGGUUCGAAGUAUAAGCGAAGAUAACAAAAGUUAUUCCUGCUAUUCUGCCAAAAAUGAUGAUUUUUAGCUUGAAUAUUUUAGCCCGGUCAAACCAUGUUAUUUCCGGCUAUUCCGGAAUAGCUUGAGAUUUGCUAUUCCACCAUUUUGAUAGAAUAGUGCUAUUCUAAUAUUUAAUUUCAAACUUUAUUAAAAUUAUAAAUUGAAUUAAAUCUAAAUUAUAUAAAUAUAAUAUAUUAUAUAUUAUAAUAUAUUAUUCUUAUUAUAAAAUUAUCAAUUGUACUAUAUUAAUACAUAUUAUUUUAAUUUAAAUAUUAUUUUAAGUCUAAUUAAAUUGAAAAUUUUAAUUUUAAGUUCUUUUGAUAGCAAAGUGUAUAAUAUCAAAGUAUUAUAACAUUUAAUUUAAAAAUAAUUAAAUAAUUUAUGUUGCAUUUUGUAAUGUAGAUAAAAUUUUAACAUUGAAAAAUAAUUUAUGAAUAUGAAAAUAACGGUACGUAUAAAAAAUGGAUUAAUUUCAUAUACAUUCCUAUAAACAUAAUGAAUUACAAAUAUAUCCUACAAAGAUCAAUUUUUAUAUGUUGUCCGUACAAAAGUUAACCAUAGAUUAAAUACUUAAUCCUAAUUAGUUAAUGAGGUAAAAUUGAUAUUUUUACCCUUUUUUAAUUAAUAGUUGAUACUUUGGGAGGGAUAUAUUUGUGAUGGUGAAAAGAUCAUUUUACUUAUAAAAUAAACGAUGUUUUAACCGUAAGAAACUAGAAUAACAUAUUUGAAAAUAUUAUAAUUUUUUAGAAAUAAUAUAUAAAAAUUAAAUUUUAUAAUGAUCUAUUUGUAAUUUAUUAUAUUUGUAAGGGCGAGUAUGAAAUUAAUCCUAGCUUAAUAAGUUUGGUGCAUCCAUGUCACGGUCUCAAUCAGAUACCGUUGAUUUGACUUGCGCUUGGACCGUGUCAUACGUAAACUUUGACCGGUUUGCGACCUUCGGUGUGGUAACGCUGAUUUUAUUUUAUUUUUUAUUUUAUUAUAUCACUAUCGUAGAGAAUGACAUGUGAGGCCCGAACGAGUCGCACUCACCAGGUUUAGUUUUUUUUUUUUUUUUUUAAAGAAAAAAGGUUUUUUAUUAGAGGAUUUUUGGGGAUUUUGUGGGACAAUAUAAUAAGAGAAGCGAAAGGGAGAAAAAGUGGGCCCCUUUUCGGCCCCUCACGAGUCAAAGUACUUAAUUGCAAAAUCCAUGCUUUCUUGGGCUCUUCAAAUUCUCGGUCUCAACUCCCAAAGACACCAAUUAUCAUUUAAUUUUUUUUAUUUUUACCAGGCAAAACUUUAAGAAAUGUACAGUUAAAAAAAUAAUGAUCUUCUAAAAUUAAGUAAAUAAUUAGUUGAAUAGUAUAAUUUAACGAAUACAAAUAAUUAAAGAAUAAAUCUAAAAAUGCAAAAAAUUGAGUAGUAUUAAGCGCUAAAUGCUAUUAGAAGCAAUAUAGUCGGACUCUAUAUAUAAAAUUGGGGCAAUUUCAUAGAUACCCCUUCCAAAGCUUAAAAUAUCAUGUAUGCCAUUCUAAAGUUUAAAAUAUCACAUAUACCCCUGUAAACAUCGAAAAUUAAUAUCAAUACCCCUACUAUUAGUUGUUUUAAUUUUACCAUAGUUAUUAAAUGAUUAAAGAUGGGUUAACUUUUAAUAUGACCAGUUUACCCUCAGCUCCCUUAAGUAAAAAUGUAUGGAGACCCCCUCAACUAUAUGUCCUUUUAAAACAGCUUUCUCAACUUUUAUAUUUUAGUUGACAUUCCAUUAAUUUUUAGUUUUUAAAAUAUUAACUAAUUUUAGUACAUGGAAAAUGAGAAUUUUGUCAAGUUUUUUUUGAUGAUUUCACUAAAUUUAGUGGCGCUAUUUAUAUUUUUAGCAAAUAAAUAACUAUGUAUAAAAAUUUAAAUAAAAAACAAAGUUGAGGAUUUUUUUCGAUCUUUCUUUAAUCUUGGAAGCUUCCAAAAUAUUUUAACCAAAAUUAUUCACGAUAAUUUUAUCUGUAUUAAAUGCAUUAAAAAACUGAAAUAUAAUAUAUUUUAGCUUUUGAACAAAACUCUCUCUCUUUUUUUUCAAUCGACAAAAAAAAUGCAUGCAUAUAGUUUUGUGAUUUAUUUUUUGCUUAAGAUAGAAAAAAAUUAAAUCUACCAUUUAUUUUAAAAUUACUAUUACUUGAUUAGGAAUGCGAAUUGAUAUAGGUAUAUCUGAAUCAAUUUUGAAUGGAUACUUAAUUGAUGCUGAGUAGAGAUAGUUUCAGUUAUAAGUGCAAAAAAAAAAGUCUCAUUAUAUUCUAAUUCAAUUAUGAUUGAUCUAUAAUCCAAACUUAACUUGAACUGAAAUCCGAAGUCAAAAACAAAACCAAAUUAUAUAAAACAUAUUAUAUAUAAAAUAUAUUUUUUAUAUAUUUUUAAUAAAUAAUAUAUAUUAAUAAUUUAGUUUAAUAUUAAUAUAUUAAAUUAUCAAAUUUACAUUUAUUGAAAUACCUAUUAGUAAUUUAACUAUGAUAAGAAAUAAAGGGUAAAAAUGCAUUUUAAAAUUUAACCCAUUUUCAUAUGAGUACUACGGACUUUAACUUAGUGGAGGGUAUGUAUGAUAAUUUUUUUAUUAUUGGAGGGUAUUUAUGUAUAUUAUCACAUUUUAGAAGAUAUUGAUGAAUUAAUGGUUUCCAUAAGGAUCUAUGAAAUUAUCCCUUAAUAAAUUCAAACCAGUAUACUUUAAUAGUUUUAUUAUCUAAUUUUUUAUUCUUGAAUUAUUACUAUGUUACGCGACCAACUACUAAACUAGGCAUCCAAUAAUCACAAAGAUGAUAAAACAUUAUAUUAAUAAUAUUUCAGGACAGUUCUAUAUAAUAUAUAUAUAUAUAUAUAUAUAUAUAUAUAUAUAAAAUUCAGCUACUAUCUUUUUAAGAAGACGGAUGACUCUAUCUUUCUAAAUCAUUAUAGAUGAUACAAAUUUCGAAUUGAUGAUCGAACCAUUAAAGUUGAUCUAAAAUAUUUGAAAUGUCUAUAAACUAAAUUUUAUAAAUUUUAAAAAUUAUCUUCGUAGUGAUCAAAGGAUCACAAAAUCGAUAAUUUUUAACGGCUUAUAUCAGCAUUUACUUAUUUAAUGGUGUAAAACAAUCCAAAUGACUUGAAUUUUUUAUAGAUUUUUUUUUUAUUAUUUAGAUAAUAUUUGAUAACUAACUCCAGCCAUGAAUUGCAAAAGUCUAAUAUCUAUUUUCACAAGCUUUGUUCAUUUUUUACCGUUCAUUUUUCAACUCUUUAAUGAAUUGGAUAACGAAUUUUAAAAUUUAUAAAAUUUAGUUUCUAAACGUUAUAAAUAUUCUAGAUAAACUUUAACUAUUUCGAUCAUUGAUUCAAAAUUUUAAUCAUCUAAAACGAUUUGGAAGGAUGAAAACUUUCAUCUUUCUUUAAAAAAAUAGUACUAGACACACACACUCUCUCUCUCUAUAUAUAUUAUAGAUAAUUAAUAUAUGAUUUUUUUUUUUUAGAGAUAGACAGCAUGCUAUCCAUUUUGUUUAUUUUAUGUAAAAAUAAACUUAGCUAGAAAUAUGAAUCAACUAGAAUUCACACUUGGGAUCUCGAAUAUCAACUACAGUAACCCGUGAGUUAUAUGUUGCAGUGAAAAAUUUGUGGUGUGUUUUACGAGGUGGGCCAUCUCAGGAAAGAGUUCCUUUUUAUGUGUCUUUGAGCUCUUCGAGAUGGCACGAGGCCCCGUCAGAGUUGAGCCCCAACCCCCUCUCUCUCUCUCUCUCUCUCUCUCUCUCUCUCUCUCUCUCUCUCUUAUAUUUAUACAUAUUUAUUUAUUUAAAAUAUAUAUGUAAAAAUUAUCUGAAAUAAAAAUUACUUACUAUACUGCUAAAUGAAGUAUUUUUUAGCGAGAAAAUUUUAUUCCGGUCAAAUUUUAUUGUUUCCUAUUAUUUUAGGAUAAAUUGGCGUAAAUGAUUUCACUCUUUGGAUGAAAUAGUAUUAUUUCAGAAUUUAAUUACAUGCUUUAUUAAAAUUAUAAAUUAAAUUAAAAUAAAUUAUAUAGACUUGACAUAUUACAUAUUAUAAUAAAUUAUUUUUAUUAUAAAAGUUAUUAAUUUGCACAGUAUUAAUGCAUAAUAGUUGUAUUCAAUUUAAAUUUUAGUAAUUCCUUAAAAAAAUUAUAAUAAAAUUAUUUUUAUAACCAAUACUUUUAUUAAAUUAUAAUUUAUAUUAAAAUCAAUAAUUAUUUUGUUUUACUAUUCUCUGCUAGUCUAUAAAAUUAACCAAGCGCACUUUUAAUUAUUUCUGAAAAUAGCGAUAUUAUAAACCAAAUAUAACUAUUUUUUUAUUCUUUACUCUUUCAAAAUAAUAAAUAAUUUUAAAAAUUAAAUAAAAUUAUAUUAAUCAUUUUAAUUCUCAAUAUUUAUUAUUUUCCAACCAAACGGAACCUAAAAAGGUCAGAAGAGAGAGAGAAAAUGAGGAGGAAGUUUACUAUAUCAUAAUUGCACCACAUCAGCAAUAACAAUACAAUUACAUAUUUUCUUUAAAAAAUAUAUAAUAAAAAUAUUUUUUUAUAAUUAUGAUGUGACAGAUUAACUCAAAAAAGCUAUUUAAUUGGUUGAAAACAUCACAACAUCUUCUAUUAACCUAUAUAAAUUCCCAAUAAUUUUGCCACAUGGCAAGUUUUCCUCCAUCCUCACUAAUCCUUUUUUUUUGAAUUAAUCUUUAAUUUGGCUUUUCCCCUCCCCUCCUCUCUAUUCAAUAACCUAUAAUUAAUGUGCUUUUUAAUUUAUACGUUUAGUUUUUUCUCUUCAAUAUUAGUCAUUUACUCUUCCUCAAAUAAUUUCUAACAUGAAAAAUUAAAAAAGGAGAAGAUAAAUAGUUACUACAUUCAAAUCUAGAGAUUAGAGAAGAGUAAGGGAGUCCUCCAAGCCUUCGGAUUUAGGGGUAGGUUUGGGAAACGAAAAUCCUAAACCUAAUUUUUCUUUUCUUUAUUUUAAUCGCAAAUUCUUACUAAGUAUCAAUUUAGAAUUAAUUUAUUUACAUUAUUUUUUAUAUAGUGGUUGUAUCAAUCAAGGAUUUGAUUUAUGUGCAUUAUUUUGAUUAAUUUAGAUGUCAGUUUUAAUUUUAUAAUUGAUGUGGUAGUUCUAACCCGCAACUUCUGAUCAUUCCAUAUCCAAAAGAGUGCAAAAUCUUGCAAAUUUCUAUGAGAUUUUCAUCACCAUUGUCGUCAUUAUCGCAACAUUAUCAUCUCUAUCUUCAUACGACCUUUUGUAAGUUUUUUUAGUGAUGAUUCUAGACAUUUAUCGAUUUUCAAUGAUCAUAUUAGUUAGCUCAAUUCAUACAUUUUUCUAUCCAAAAAAUAAAACACACUUGAAAUUUUAUUUUCCAAACUCUUUUCUUCUUCCUCUUCAAUAUUUUUUAUUUUUUCUUCUAUUAUUUAUCCGCCGCAUCGCGCAGGUUACUACACUAGUAAAUAUAAUUAAGUGAUUCAUUUUAGAUUUUUUUUUUUUUUUUUAACAGAAGGAGAGCCAUGCCCUAAUGCUCCCAACGUGGUGAUAUUCAUUUCAAGAGUGCACGAGGGGCGCAUUCAAAGCUUUCCCAUGGAUUUUUCCUGCAUACAUAUAUGCCCCUAGUCUAUGUAGUCUCUGGAGAUGUAGUACACUAGUACUAUAUGAUACAGCGAAGGGAAAGCCAUGUUAAAAAAGCUUGGCCCCACAUGACCAAGACGAAGGGUUCAAUUAUAACUCCUUUUUUGGGGUUCUUCAUAAGGUACCCAAAACUAUAUAGAGAUAUCACUAAUUAAUAGUGAAUCACCUUGCAAAUUAAUUAAUUUGAGAUUUUUAAUUAAUUAAAGGUCCUCUAAUAUAAGAUAGUUAUACAUACACAUAGGUUGAAGAGGUUAGAACAACAGUGCUAUAGUUAUUUGUCAUAUAAUUAAUUUUUAUGUUAGCUCCUAGCUAGUGUAUAUAUGUCUUAGUAAAUUGCCAUUAGUUUUAUUAAAAAUGCAUUCACGCACACUUUUAGCUGGAAAUCGAAUUCAAACAUCGAAUUUCUUAGCUAGCGCGAGGGUACUGAUCACGUAACAACCGCGAUAAGCACUAACGGUAUUAUGAAAAUUUUGAGAAGUUAAUUAAUUAUAAACUACCAUUUAUUAUGUUUAUAAAAAGGCAUGAUACAUCAAUUGUAUUUGGAGAUACAUUUUGAGGUGCUCAUAGUAAGUUGGUGGGUGGAGACAUGUGGAUAUGCGCAUGGGAGCAAAUGUACUUAUGCUUCUCCAUGGUCUCUCGGAAGCUUUUGACUCACUUAUUGGCAUCGAUCUCCAUGCAAACACACACACACACACACACACACACACACACACACACACGCACACAUGUAUAUACAACACCCACCAAUUAAUUAAGUACUCUCACAUCCUCCUUGUUCCCUUUUCAAAACAUAUAUAUAACUUUUUUAUAAUCGGAGAUAUAUAAAAGAUGAAAAAAGAAUUAAUAAUUUUGAUUUGUGUACACUAUGAAAAGUAUAUAUUUUUAUCUAUAAGUUUAUGUUUUUGGGUUGAUUAGAAUCUUUCUUAAAAAAUAAUCUUUAUUAAUUGUUAAUUGCUUCUCACCUACUAAUUAACUAGCUAGAUUCUGAGCAAUUAAUUAAUUUUUUUUUUGUUAUUAAUAACAUGAUCCUUUUUAAAUGUGCGUCGUAUAUACUCUCCUUCGUAUAAAAUAAAGUUAAUUAAUAUACGCGUCUUCUACUUGCCAUAUUGGAUAUAUAUUUUAGGACCGCAUGAACAGCUCCAUGUGCCCAAGAUUAUGAACUCAACUUCAAGGCGAAGGCUUCGUUGUGGCUUUUCAUCUGAGGCCACAACUAAUUAAUUUACACUAUUAAUAUGUUCAUGCUACUAAUUGAUCGAGGCUAAACCUAUAGAUCAUGUGUGUGUGUGUGUAUAUAUAUAUAUAUAUAUAUAUAUAUAGAGCAGGACUGCUGUGCUUUCAGGAGCACGGAGGCUUCCGUGCUCCUGAGCCGUUUUCGAUAAUGGAAUUUUCGAAUCGACGAUCGGCUCCGUUAGACUUGAUCUAGCGCAUUUGAAGUUUCUAGAAAAUAAUUUUUGCGAUUUUUCGAUAUCAUUUACCUAGUGAUCGAAAGGAUUCAAAAUCCAUAAUUUUUAAUGGUUGAUAUCUGCCGUUUUUAAGUUUAACGGUGUAAAAGUAUUCAAAUCAGAUGAAAAUUUGAUAGAAAAUUCUUUAUACUAUCUACAACAAGAUCUAUAUUUACGAUCGAAAAUUUUAGUGCUAUAUCACCACUUUUUAUAGGAUUUUUAUUUUCAGCCAUUAAAUAUUAUUGAUUUUGAAUCCUUUCGAUUGCUAGGUAAAUGAUAUCGAAAAAUCGCAAAAAUUAUUUUCUAGAAACUUUAAAUAUGCUAGAUCAAGUUUAACGGAGCCGAUCGUCGAUUCGAAAACUCCAUCAUCGAAAACGGCUCAGGAGCACGGCUCCUGAGAGCACAGCAGCCCUACUCUAUAUAUAUAUAUAUAUAUAUAUAUAUAUAUAUAUAUAUAUAUAUAUAUAUAUAUAUAUAUAUAUAUAUAGGGUAAAUAGGACCACAUGCAAGAGAAUGGCCCUAUAACACUUGAAAGGGCUUUAUAGAUGGUUCACAACACCUUGGGUCGAGACCAUAAAUAUAUAUAUAUAUAUAUAUAUAUAUAUAUAUAUAUAUAUAUGCAACCAUGUACUUGUUACGUACAUAUAUAAUACAAGCUACAAAAUUGCACCCGAGCAAAUGUGUUAGCUUUAAUUAAUUAGGGUUUGUGAGAUGACGAGCUCAAAAGGGUUGUUUGCUUUCGAGUGAUUAUGACUUUAGGAUUCUCUAAAAUAGCUUUUAUUCUUCACACUCAAGGGAUGGAGAGGACCACCACCAACAUUGAAAUAAGAUGCACUUCCCUCUCUACUUGCAACAAGAAUAAAGCUUCAGGCACCCUUAGAAAAGAAUACUUUAAUGCAAAAUUAAAUAAUAAUUUUCCUACCAUUACUCGUAUUAAAUAAUUUGCUUGCUAAAUUGAAAAGGGCCAGCAUCCUGUCAUAUGGCGGAGGCCGAGAUGAUCGAGUUUAGUCACAGUAAAAGCUUGCGAACUGCACGGCGGAAACCAAGAUCGGCCGAGUCAUAAUCGAAAUCAGUUAAGGGAUGUACUUGUACACUUUAAGCUUGAGCUUUUGAAAUUAGUGGUUAGCACGAACAAUCUGAUACUAUUUUUGUAUUCGAUUUCAUUAGUACUAUUGCUAUGCUGUCAGAAGAAAAAAAAAAAAAAUUCUGUGGCAUCUUCGUCAUUCUCUUGUGUAGUAUCUUACGCCAUGAGGAAAUCAUCAUCUUAUUGAUCUCUGGGGCCCAAGAGAGAAGCAUAAAGGAAUUUGAAAAAAAAAAAGAAAAGAAAAAAGAACAAAAUGAGAUCAUUCGCUUAAGUUGCACAAAUAUAGUUUUGGUUUGCAUGUGGGAAACAUAUCCUUUGGUUCCUUUUGUUGUGGUAGCUAGUGGGUGUGAGAAGUUAUGGGCAUCUACAUAUAAGCAUGCUUUAAAUCAAGUAAAAGGAGUCCAACUAAGAGCUCAUUUUAGCUGGUUUUAAGUGUUUCUCAAUGAUUAGCCGUUAUGUCAUUAAUCAUUUAAUGAUCAAACUUUCCAUAUAUGUUAUCCACAAUUAGUUGGGUGUUAUAAUUAUAAUUAACUCCAUAUAUAGAAGCAUGUUGUGGGUGCAUGUCACUUUUUGAUAAGGAAAUUUUGCACCCGAACUUCCAAUGGUAGAUCAUAAAGUUUUCUUAUCUUAUAUCCAAAUUAAGAGUUUAAUUUAUGCGCUUUGCUUUUAGUUGAUUUAUGGAGCACCUCAUUAAAUUGCUAAGUUUGAUUCGAAUUCAACCCAACUAAUUAUUUGUUUUAGAUAUAUUACGAAAAUGUGAACAACUUAAGAAGUUACAUGCACGGUCCUUCAGUAAUAAUAUAGUAACGCUUAUAGCUUACUAUAUAUAUAUAUAUAUAUAUAUAUUGAUCANUAACUUAUACAGUGCCAAACCGCUAGGAUCCCAGUAAUAAUAUAGUAACGCUUAUAGCUUACUAUAUAUAUACAUAUAUAUAUAUAUUGAUCAUAUUCAUGUCCUCUAAGGAUCUAUUCUUAGCUUUAAAAGGAGUGCUACUAUUCUUAGGCCCAGGUAAGGCUCCAUUAAUGGAAGCUUAAGUGGUACUUACUUCACAUGUUGCCUUAUAUAGUGCUUGAGCUUUAUGCGUUGAUUAAUUAAAUUAAAUCAUGCAUAGGUUCUAGUAUUGUGAUCAACUGGCCCAUUGCACCAACAUUUAGCCUUUUACUCAAAGCGUUUACCUUCAUUAUUUUAUGGCCAAACCUAAUGUACUGUAGUUAAUAGGAGAACCUUCUAAUCAAGUACGAAAUGAUAAUAAAAUAUCACCGCAAACAAGUACGGAUGAACUAAUUUGCACGUUACAUAAGUUUGUAAAAAAUGUUUACAUGAUUAUUAGAGAUAUAAAUUCGACAGUACCAUUUGAUCGCAGGUGAUUGAAGGGCUAUGAGGGUGUGUCGGUUGGGUUUGUAAUGGGCCGUUAUUGGGCCAUUUGGGUUAUGCAUGUACUGGGCCUAAAGGACAGGACCAGGGGUGGCUCAGUGUCGAUAAAUGGACGGGCAUGAUUGAAAGGUAAGGAGACCCGCCCCAGUGUGAGCUAGAGCCUGUUGGGGAGUGGACCUGGAUUUUUUCUUUUUUAUUUUUUCUUUUUUUUUUUUAACGUGCAGAAUUUAUACGAGCGAUCUACUACUUUGAUUUGGCUAUUUAAUUUUUUAAAAUUUUAAUUUUACUAUCUAAUCUUAAAAAAAAAAAAAUUAUUUAAGUUAGCCAACGGCGCUUUGACUUCAAAAUUGAAUGUGUCGUUUACCUUUAUGGUUUUAGUUAGUAUACUUCGUGCGUUCCUCACUGUUAUAAAUUUAUUAAAAUAAGUAAUUAACUUGUUUUUAAUGUCAAGAUACUGUUUGCUGAUUCAAAUCAAAUAAAUUAAAAGAUUGAGUAAUAAAAUCAAAAUUUUAAAAAAUUAAACAGUUUUUUUUUUUGGAAAAAGAGAAAGGUAGCAUGCUACCUGCUCCGCUUAGGGUGUGUUUGGAUCCCUGUAAAACUACUCCGAAAAUUUCUUUCAGUUGAAAAAAAUUUUUCCGACGUUUGGUUGCCUGUAAAAAAAUUUUUUGGAAAACUUUUUUUUACAGAUUCUCUAAAAAACUCAAGUUUUCGUUUUUCGCCGGCCGUCCACGAAAAACGAAAACCCAUCGAUGAAAAGGCGCGGCUCAAGAGAGGUUUGAGCACACAGUCCACAAGGUCAUCCUCGCCUCGUGGACCGCGUGAGACGAUGGUGCACUCGUGAAAAUGAAAACCUAUUUUGAAAAAAGACGCGGCUCAAGAGGUUUGAGCACGCGGUCCACGAGGUCAUCCUCGCCUCGUGGACCGCAUGAAAGGGAGGUCUACAAUGGACCUCCUCUCAUUUUAUAUNNNNNNNNNNNNNNNNNNNNNNNNNNNNNNNNNNNNNNNNNNNNNNNNNNNNNNNNNNNNNNNNNNNNNNNNNNNNNNNNNNNNNNNNNNNNNNNNNNNNNNNNNNNNNNNNNNNNNNNNNNNNNNNNNNNNNNNNNNNNNNNNNNNNNNNNNNNNNNNNNNNNNNNNNNNNNNNNNNNNNNNNNNNNNNNNNNNNNNNNNNNNNNNNNNNNNNNNNNNNNNNNNNNNNNNNNNNNNNNNNNNNNNNNNNNNNNNNNNNNNNNNNNNNNNNNNNNNNNNNNNNNNNNNNNNNNNNNNNNNNNNNNNNNNNNNNNNNNNNNNNNNNNNNNNNNNNNNNNNNNNNNNNNNNNNNNNNNNNNNNNNNNNNNNNNNNNNNNNNNNNNNNNNNNNNNNNNNNNNNNNNNNNNNNNNNNNNNNNNNNNNNNNNNNNNNNNNNNNNNNNNNNNNNNNNNNNNNNNNNNNNNNNNNNNNNNNNNNNNNNNNNNNNNNNNNNNNNNNNNNNNNNNNNNNNNNNNNNNNNNNNNNNNNNNNNNNNNNNNNNNNNNNNNNNNNNNNNNNNNNNNNNNNNNNNNNNNNNNNNNNNNNNNNNNNNNNNNNNNNNNNNNNNNNNNNNNNNNNNNNNNNNNNNNNNNNNNNNNNNNNNNNNNNNNNNNNNNNNNNNNNNNNNNNNNNNNNNNNNNNNNNNNNNNNNNNNNNNNNNNNNNNNNNNNNNNNNNNNNNNNNNNNNNNNNNNNNNNNNNNNNNNNNNNNNNNNNNNNNNNNNNNNNNNNNNNNNNNNNNNNNNNNNNNNNNNNNNNNNNNNNNNNNNNNNNNNNNNNNNNNNNNNNNNNNNNNNNNNNNNNNNNNNNNNNNNNNNNNNNNNNNNNNNNNNNNNNNNNNNNNNNNNNNNNNNNNNNNNNNNNNNNNNNNNNNNNNNNNNNNNNNNNNNNNNNNNNNNNNNNNNNNNNNNNNNNNNNNNNNNNNNNNNNNNNNNNNNNNNNNNNNNNNNNNNNNNNNNNNNNNNNNNNNNNNNNNNNNNNNNNNNNNNNNNNNNNNNNNNNNNNNNNNNNNNNNNNNNNNNNNNNNNNNNNNNNNNNNNNNNNNNNNNNNNNNNNNNNNNNNNNNNNNNNNNNNNNNNNNNNNNNNNNNNNNNNNNNNNNNNNNNNNNNNNNNNNNNNNNNNNNNNNNNNNNNNNNNNNNNNNNNNNNNNNNNNNNNNNNNNNNNNNNNNNNNNNNNUAAUUAUUUAUUAAUAUUUCUAAAUAUAUAACUCUUAUAUAUUAUUAAUAUAUAUUUAUUAUAAUUUUAAAUAUAUUUAAUUUAUAUAUAUAAAUUAUAAUAAUAAUAUAUAUAGUAUAUUAAUUAUUAUAUAAUAAUAAUAUAUAAUAAAAAAAUAUUAAAAAGGUUUCUAUCUAUUUUUUUUUUCCUUUUAGCCAAACAACCAUCAUGUAAAACUUUUUUUUUUUCCUACAAACAAACACUAAACUACGUAAAUUUUUUUUCACUGAAAAUUUUUUCUACUGAAUUUUUUUUUUUUUCCAGUUUUACAUCGAUUCAAACAACCUCUUAGUGAAAUAUAAAGCAAUUAUGUUUCAAACUUGAAAUCUCAGUACGUGCGCUAGUGGUACGUAUAAUUUGUACCAAAUUGUACAUGUUGCAGAAAAAGCUAUCCUACUUUCUCUUUCACCAAUCACCACCGAUAAUCUAGUUCGUAAGUCGCAUCCCUAGCUAGGGAGGGAAAGAGGGGUGGGGUUUAGCCUCUCUCGGAUGCGUACCUGCAAGCAUUAAUUAAAAAUAAAAGAAGAGGAUAGUAAUCUAGUUGAAACUUGAUAGCUACCUCCCUUGCUAGGGACUAGGGAGAGUGUUUGGGAUUAAUCCUUCUUCCAUGCGCGUCUAAGCAUAAUAAAAACUAGUUAAGGAACCCCGGCUACGGAUUCAUUUAUCUUUUUUUAUAAAUAAUUAAUAAAUAAUUAAAUAUAUUUUUUAUAUAAUAAAUAACAAUAUAUUUUAGUUAAUUAAAUAAGAAAGUUUUAGAAAUAUUUCACAUGUGAUCAAUUAUAUCAGAUAUGUAAGUUUUGAUUGCAAAUAAUAAUGCUAAUCUUAACACCCGUUCGGUUUCAGAUUGUAAAUUCAUAAAUUUGUGGUUUAAUUAUAAUAAAACUUUAAAAUAUAUAAUUAUUUAUGCCUAAUUUUAAAAUAUUUUAGAUUAUAUGUAUUAAAUAUUAAUUUUAAUUUUAUAAUUAUUUAGAUAUAAAUAAUCCAUUUUUAAUAAUGGAAAACUGAGCUUUCCGUGCUCGACGCGUGGGAGAGGUGCGAGGGCGGAGGGGGCGAGGAGGCGGGCGGCGCGAGCCUGGUAGUGGGCGAGUGGCGCGCAGGGCGCGGGCCGCGGGGCGGGGGACGGGCGGCGCGCGCUGGUGGCGUGCAGGCUGUGGGCGCGAACGGGCGCGGAUGGGCGAGCCGCGCGCUGGCAUGGCGCGAGCGAAAAAAAAAAAAAAAAAAGAAAAGCUAGCAGGAAAAAAUCGGGGUCAAUUUCCCUUUUGCACGGGUCCACGAGUAAGCAUCACCUGUGGAAUCGCAUGGUUCACCUGCUCUCUCUCCCUUUUGAGAUUAUAUAUUAANNNNNNNNNNNNNNNNNNNNNNNNNCUUAUCAACAGACAGCAUAAAAAAAAAAAGAAAAAAAAUUCUGUUAUGAGUACCAUACAAUUUUGGAUGUGAUAUUAUUAUUUGUGUGAUCAAUAUAUGCAAAUAUAUUUUUGUUAUUUUGGGUUGUGGAUAUUUUGAACAUACUGUUUCAUUUCAUCAAAUAUAUUCAAUUUGUGGAAGUAAUUAAAAUUUAUUUAUUUUGAUUAUGAUGUCUAAAUGAUGAUCAAAUUUGGUUAGGUAAGUUUUAUAUAUUUUUUUGUUUAAUUUGUAUAUCUGUAGAAAAUGAUGGAAAAUUUAAUUUUUAAUGCUUAAUAAUUUUUAACUUAGAAUUGUUAUUUGUUGUAUUUCAUUAUAAUUUAUAUGCAAACAAAUAUUAAUUUUUAAAAUUUAUUUUAUAUAAUUAUACACUAUAUAUAAUUAUAUAAAUAAUAUAAUUAUAUUAAUUUUAUUUAUUAUAAUUUAUUAUCAUUAGUUAUAAAAUUGAGAAUUAUAUCACUUCGGAGGAAAUAUACAGAGGUGGAGAGGCUACACUUUUUUACGGGCUAUCUAUUUCUCCAAAUAAACAACAGAACGUAGCCAGAAAUGCCACUUUUACAGUAAGAACAAACAGGCAAAGUGAAUUAAAUUUCACCCCAAUUACUUCAAUCCAAAGUCCACUUCCACGCCAGUCUAUUUUAAUUAAAAAAACAUGCCUUAAAGGAUUGAAGGUUAAGUUGAACAGAAGCAAAAUAUCGUUAUAUAUUUUGAAUAUAUGUAAAAUUAAAUAAGAUAUUGAUAUUUUAUUUUAUAAUAUUUCAUUGAAAGUAUAAAAAUGUAAUUGUCAUGUUAAAAAAAUAGCUGUUUCAAAAAUUUUUCAUAAGUUUUGAUGGGAAUGUAUAUUACUUCAACUAAUGAGACUUAAUUUACAUCGAACAAAAUUGAAAUAUCAUUAAACUGAAUGGGAAGUAAAAUGAACAAUCAUAUGACAACAACAAAUAGAACAAGGAUACAAACAGGAUUAACGGAUUAUUUCAUUUUUUAUCAGAAAAAUUUAAUUUAAAUUAACAAACCAAGCUAGAUGUAAAUGUUUUUUUUGAAAUCAAAAUACUAUGAAUUUGGAUAUUUUAAGCUAAAAAUAAGUGAUUCAUCUUGAUCGAUAUUAAUCAAAUUUAAUGGUGUUUAUUGCAAUAAAGAGGGCUUAAAUAGUACCAUUGAAUUGUUGACGUCGGCUUUUAGUUGUAGUAAUAAAUUUUUAUGAUAUUAUGUUCAAAAAUUUGGUCCUAUUAUUAAGGUGGAAAUAUGUCUGGGCAUGUGAUUUAAUAAAGAAAUAUCAGUUUUUAUCUGCUAAAUUCUUUGAGCUGCCUUAAAGUUGAAAUUUUUUUGCCUCGGCACUCUUUUUUUUUUCUUUUAUUUUUUUGAGAGAGAUAGGUAGCACCGCUCCUGCUUCGUUUAUUUCAUUUUAGAAAUAAAAUUUAGCUAGAAAUGUGAAGAUCAACUAUGUAGAUUCGGACUUGAAUCUCAAAGUACAACCAAUCCUUUGAUCAUUCUCUAAGGAGAGGGAGCAGGGGUGCAUAUUAUGCUAGGGAGAUUUAGAGGCAAUCCCAAAUUUAUCUAUUUAUUGAAUGGCGAGACUAUAAAAUUCUAUUAGAAUGUUUGCAGAGUGCAAAGCAAACUAAACUCGAGUUCAAUUUGUUUUGAAGGCUAGAUCGUGACAAAUAGUUGGAAAAGAGUGCCAGAUUAAGUAGAUCUUAUGUAGGUUUGAUUUUAUGUGCUACUUGUUUGCUAGCUUUACUUUUUGUCUUGCCUUUGCUCUCUCUUCCUUUGCUGAUGCCUGUGGCUCAGUGAUAUAACUUUAGUUAAUCUUCCUGCUAUUAAAAGAUAGCAAGCUUCUUUUACACCAACAAAGAAAUAUAUUAUUUUGAUCAAUUGAAGGGCAAUUUACAAAAUUUGAUUAUUUAAAUUGCAUAAAGUUUUUUUAUAUAUUAUAAAAUUUCUAAAAUAAUAUAACACACAGAUAACAAGUUUUUUUUUUUUCUUUCUAAAAAUAAAAAUUAUCAGUAUAAAUAAUUCGAUUUGUAGGUGAUAAUGUGUACCAAAUUGGGCAUUUUAGUUUAAAUUAAAGAUAUAAAAUUAUUAAAAUUUAAUGAGGAUAGUGUAUGGUAGUGAUACGAUACACUGGAUGCCAGGGACGAAUUUUUUCAGAGUUUUUCGUGGGCUUACGGCGUACCAUAGUAUUGUUUACAACUCCUCCACCUUCAAAAACCAUCUCAAUGCUUCUUUUUACAUAAUACCUAAUUCACUCAUAUCUACAAUCGCAUUCCGAAAUCUCAUGCAACGAUCCAAUCAAGCGGCCAAGCAUCGCCGCAUAUUAAACAAUUACAGCCCCGUACAGACCAUCGUUCCACGUUACAGCUUUCGUUCACGAUUAUUAUAUAUUUACAGAUCUCGAGAAACUGCUGAUUUAAAAGUUUAGUACGAGUACAACGAAUAGAUCUCUUCCCUCUUUCUUUCGCUCUCUCUUUCUUCUUUUUUCGUGGCGUGCGUGAAUUCGCUGCUGGGGCGGAGGUGGGCGAGAAUCGAAGGCGAACGGUGGGAGAUGUGCUGCUUUUCCCGAGCCGAUCGUGUAUGCCUCUGCCUCCUCUUGUUGUCGGCAUCAUCCUCGUGGGCUUCGUUCUUCGGCUUGGGGUCGCUUAGCCAUGGCUUCCACACCCCCCCCUAGAUCAAGGGCACGGCGCUUCCACCUCGACCCCUCGCAUGGCCUCGCCACGCUUCCGGCCCCCAUGUAUCGUAAGGUACCCACCCUCCUUCCUCCCGAUCCGUGCUCAAUUUACUAAAUUUAGGGUUUCUGCUGCCGGGAAUUGGGGCGACGGGGGGCGGCGAAAUCUAGGGGUUUGGUUCCCGGAUUCGAGAUCUUGGGAAAUGUGGAGGGAUGAGAUGAGAGUUCUUUGGAUUUUUGAACAUUUUAAAAUUCGAAGACAAUUCCUCUUUUUUUACCAGUUAGUUUUUUAUAUUUGUAUAGUUUUGAUUUGGAUUUUUUUUCAGAUAUUUUGAAUUAAUUAAUUAAUUAAUAAAUAUAUUUUACUUGAUACGGUCACGGGUACCAAUCAAUUUGAAUUAUGAAUUUUGGCUUUUUUUUUUUGAAAAAAAGAGCAUUUAUUCUAUAUGGUACUUUUUGGCGUUCAUUAUUUAUGAAUUUUGGGUACCUUGGAAGCUGAAGAAGGUAGGGAGUGGUUUUGAAUCAUUGAGGUGAUAUUAUAAUUAAUUAUUUGAUUGAAAUACAUUUAAUGUUGCAUGUAGGGCCCAUUAUAUAUUAUGAAAUCACUGUUAGUUGGGAUUAAAGUUUUUCUUCGUUAUCUGCUUUUACGAUUUAAAAGAAUAAAAAUUAAAAAAUUUAUGGUAUGUGAGGAGGAAAGAUUAACAAUCUUUUAAAUCUUGUUGGAGUCUUUUAAACUAAAGUAAUAUUUUUAAGCUAUUGUUAUUACAGGCCAGGCAUAAGAGUAUAUAUACGCGGGCGCGAUGCAGCAGUUGCACUUGUAUUGCUGUUUGAUUAUUGGUUUCAAAAACGCUCUCACUCUACAGCAAUCAAAUUAACUUAGUUGGUAUUUACAAAAUUUUAAGUUUAAAGUCUUAGUUAUUUUAUUUUUUAUUAAAAUGUCUAACUUAGUAAUAUGUUGAAACAGUUAAGUAAAAGCAAGAAAGUAGAGCAAGGCUAUACAAUAAAUUAAUAUAAGGUUUAGGAGAGAAGAUGUUUUUUCGGUUGAUUCUCGUUCAAUCUCGAUUAAUGAUCUGCCUAGUUUGUAACGUCACGCAAGCAACAUAUGUUUGUUUUAAAAAAAAAAAAAAAAAAUAGUUUAACUACAAUCAUAUCAUAUGGUAGGGGUGAGUGGGAGUGGGCCGGACAGACAGAGUGGCGUGUCGGGUUCGCCAUCUCUGUUGAGGUCAUGCUGGGUCGGUUUCAGUUAGGUUUGUGUUUGGUCAUCGUAGUGGCAAGUUAAUGUAAACCCACUACUUUCAAUGCCUUUUUUUCUUUUUGUUUUUUUUUCGUUUGUCUGAAGAAAGAAAAAAUAUUUUAGGUUCUCUAUCAAUGAGUAGAGCUUGUUACGAGAACAAGAGUUUUUAGAAAAAAGGGUUGAACGUAUUUCUCUUUUUUUUUUUUUGAGAAGAAAAAUUAGCAUAUUACUUGUUAUCGUUUUUAAAAAAUAAAUUUAAUUUAAAUGUAAAUCAACCAUGAUUUAAAAUUGAGAUUUUCGGAUACAACCUCUAAAACUCUUUGCCACUUACAGGAGGAACAGCGAUAAAGGGGGUUGAAUAAUUUAAAACUCACGAAAACAAUGAAUAUGGUGCUAGUUGAGAGAGUAACUACUAGUUUUUUUUUUUAAGAAAAGUAAGUGUGCAUCACAGAUGUAAGAUUUCCUGGGGUGUUUGGCUUCAGUUUUAUCCUGCAUAUUAUAAGUAAUUCUAGUUCAAAAUGAUAUGCUUUGUGUUUGUUCGUCUGUAAUUGGGUCCGGUAGUGUAAUCUUAAAAUGAUACUAGUUACUGUAUAUUACAUUUAAAAAUUAUAAAUUUAUUCUCAAAUCUCUCUCUAAAUCUCUUCAAUAUGUCUUUUUGUAGAUGUCUUUAUAUUUAUGUCUUUUUGGUUAGGAUGACUAUAUUUUGUUUUUUGAGAGAGGGGAAAAAAAGGGUAGAAGGGUAGAUAUUUAUUUUUUAAAUUAUAAUUUAGCUAAAAUGGUGACAUAAUAAAUUCAAGUUUUGGACUUAGGUUGACAUCAUAAGUCAUUUGCCUACUUGCGCUAGUAACAGACUGUAUGAUGAUUUAUUUUAUUAUAUUUAAAAUUAUUAAAUUUUAUAAACCAAUUAAAUAUAGUAAUUUUAUUUUACAUCUCAAUCCAGUAUUGGAUAUUACUGCUUAAACCAAAGACUAUACUACAGUAUAAUAGUAAUUGAUUCAAAUUUUAGAUACUAUAAUUAUGCGAAAUAUUAUAAUGUUAUUACCACGCGAACAAAGCACUCUCCAGUAAUAAUAUUCUAUGGGUAUGGGGUUGGUUUUGUUCUCGUAAAACUGCAGAAAAAAAAAUUUUCGUGUAGAAAAAGUUUUCAGAGGAAAAUAAUUUUACGCUUUGUAUUGGUUUGGUAGGAAAAAAGUAAUUUUAUUUGGUUGUUGGUUGUUGAAGGAAAAGAAAGGAAAAAAGAAGAAAAAAUUAAUUAUAAAUAAAUAUUAUAUAAUUAUAUAUUUUUUUUUUUUAUAUUUAUUAUAUAUUAAUAUAUAAUUUAUAUUUGUAAAUAAAUAUAUUAAAAUAAUAUAUACAAUAAGUAAUAAUAUAAUAAUGGGGCAAUUUCAUGGAACCAUCCAAAGUUAUAAAAUAUAUAAUGCCCUAUAAAAAUUUAAAAAUAUCACCCAUUUCCUUUAAACACAAAAAUUAUAUCAAUACCACCUUAUAUUAGUUAUGUUAGCUUUACCAUAGAUAUUAAUGUUUAAAAUAAGGUUAAUUUUAAAUGACUUAUUUACCCUAAGUAUUUUCUUAAGUUAAAAUGUAUGGAGACCCCUCAACUAUAUGCCAUUUUCAAAUAUGGCUCUUAACUUUAUUUUUUUUUUUCAGUUUGAAUAUUCCCAUUAGCUUUUAGUUUUUUAAAAGAUAUAACUAAUUUCAGUGUAUGAAAAAUGAGAGUUUGUAGUUUUUUUGAUAAUUUUAACAAUUAGUGGCUUAUUUAUAUUUGUCGAAUAAAUAAUUAAUAUAUAAAAUUUAAUAAAAUAUGUUAUGGAAAUUAUCCGAUAUUUCUUUAAUGUUGAAGCUUAAAAUUUUUUUUAAUCAAAUAUUGGAUAAUUUUAUCUGCAUUAAAUCAAUUAAAAAACUAAUAUAAAUAUAUAUUUAGCUUUUUUGACAAAACUUCUUUUUGUUUCAAUCACGGAACAAUGCUUGAUAAUAGUUAUGGUGAUUUACUUUUGAUUAAAUAGGAAAAAAAAAAUCUUAUAAUUUAUUCAAAAUUACUAUUACUACUGAAACCUGACGAAAUUCCAAAACUUAAAAACAAAACAAAAUCAGAUAAAAACAUACUAUAUUAAUAAUAUAAUUUUUUAUAUUUUUUUAAUAAUUAAAUAUAUAUUAAUAAUUUAUUUUAAUAUGUAUAUAUUAAUAUACAUUCAAUUUAGAUUUACAAUAAUAUCUUGAAAAUACAUAUUAGUAUUCCUCUACUAUUAAUAAGGAAUAAAGGAGUAAGAAAAAUGGAUUUGAAAAUUUAAAUCUUUUCAGAUGGAUUAUUUAACGGAUUUUAACUGAUGAGGAGGAUUUAUGAUAUUUUAAAACAUAUUGGAGGGUGGGUAUUUGUGUUUAUCAAUUUUAAGAAGGGUAUUGGUGAAUUAAUAGAGUAUCUAGAAGGGAUCUAUGAAAUUAUUCUAUAAUAUAAUAGCGUAUAUAUUAAAUAUAUAUAUAAUAAUAUAUAUAUAUAUAAUAACUAUAAUAAAUUUGUAACAAUACUUAUAAAUAAUAUAUACAUAUAGAUUGAGCUAAAAUAUUUUAGAAUCGACCCAAAGACCCCUUAGUACUUCUAAGUUUUAAUCUAAGAUCCACUUUAAUUACUAAUACCUUAUUAGAUUCAAACACUAUUUCACCUCAUCACCGACCGCCCAUCAUCAACAUGCAAUCUUCCAUCAAUGAUUUAAAAAUCAAAAGCAACCAAUCUCUUAGUGACUUUUGAGAGUAUUCUAAAUAACUCUUUUCUCUUCUCUCUCAAUAUAUUAUAUAUAGAGGGGCAGAAAGAGAUGGUCCAUCUGGACUUCUCACAGCGGUCCACGGAGUGGGAGUGGACCUGUGGACUGCGCCUUUUUACUCCGCGCGAAGGCCGCAAAGCCGCGCACAAUGCGUCCAUAUGGACUUCCUAUGCAGUAAGACGUGGAGAGGACCUGGUGGACCGUUGCUUUUUCCCCGCGCGGCGCGUUACGCGCGCAACGCGUGCGUUUUCGUUUUCGCUAGUAUUCGAAUAAAAACGAAAAACCAUUAGCUUUUCCUAACGAAUCCGCUAAAAAAAAAUUUCCGGACGAAGCACCAAAACAUUUUUUUGAAUCUCACUUUCAACCGGAAAAAAAAUUUGUAGAGAGUUGAUUUUAGGAGGAACCAAUUCCGCCCUAUGCAGAUUCAGCGAAUUCGGAUAUGGGGCGCAAAAGGCUUUUUCCGGUGUACGUUAAAUUGAAAGUUUAAUUUGGAAAAUUAACUUCGGCAUUAAUUAAAAAAGCUACUGUCUAUACAAGAUACUAAAUUCAAAUGGCGGUCAGAGUCCUGUGUCGACCUUCAUCAAUUUAAUGGAGCGGCACGCGACAAAGCAUCUAGGUCAAACAAACAAGUCUCUGGAAUACUGCUUAUAGCAGGUUCGAGUAGUCAAAAGCGACAAGAGACAUUUUAAUUAAAUAUAAGAAAAUAGUAAAGCAUUAUUAUUAAAUAUUAUUAAUUAUUAUUAUUAUUAUUUAUUUAAUAAAACUUGGAUGAGAUUGGGAACUGAGCUUUCACUGGCUCGAACGGUGGCGACGGGUGCGAGAGCGCGGAGGCGGGCGAGCGAGGCGGGACGGCGCGAGCUGGUCUAUGGGGCGGAGUGCGCGCGCAGGGCGCGGGCUCGGGCGGCGGGGGACGGGCGGUCCUAGCGGCAUGGUGGCGUGCAGGCUGUGGGGCUGCGAACGGGCGCGGAUGGGGCGAGCCGCCGCUGGAUGGGCGCGAGCCGAAAAAAAAAAAAAAAAAAGAAAAGCUACAGUGCAAAAAUCGGGGUCAUUCCCUUUUUGCACGCGGUCACGAGGUGCAGCAUCACCUCGUGGUCGCAUGGUUCAUGCUCUCUCUCCCUCUUUGAGAUUAUAUAUUAUUAUAGAGAGAGAGGGAAAGAGAGUUAUGGCUGCUGUGCUCAUUAGAUCUUGAGCGUUUUUCGGAUUAUGAAAUUUUCGAGAUCAAAGUCUCGCUCGUUAGAUGUGAUAUAGGAUAUUUAAAGUUUAUAGAAAUAAUUUUUAUAAUUUUUUUUUGAUAUUAUUUAUACAUAUGAUCGCAAAGGGAUUUAAAAUUAAUAUUUUAAUAGUUGAUAUCUGCCGUUUUCAAGUUACGUUGUUUAGAAGUAGUUCAAAUCAAUAAAAUUUUGAUACAAAUUUUUUAUAUUAUUAGCAAUAAGAUCAAUAUUUCUGAUAGAAAAUAUUUAGUACUGAUAAAUUACAUUUUUAUAGGAUUUUUAUUUCUCGGCGAUUAACAAAUUAUUAAUUUGAGAUCUUUCGAUUGUUAAGGUAAUGUAUCGAAGAAUCGCAAAAAUUAUUUUCUACAAACUUCAAAUAACGCUAAUCCAGUCUAACGGAGCCGAUCGUCGAUCAGAAAUUCGUACUAAUUCGAAAACGGAUGGAGCACGAAGGCUCGUGCCUCCUGAAAGCACAACAGUUUGCUAAUAUAUAUAUAUAUAUUAUAUAUAUACUAUUUAUAUAUAUUUUUAAAUAUUAAUUAUAUAUACUAACUUUAAUAUUUUUAUUAUCUUAAAUAUUAAUAAUUUAUUUUGGAAUCAACAAAGAUAGUAUUUUACUUUAAUUAAUUUUUCUUAUUUUUUUAUUUGUAAAUUUACACAUGAUAUAAAUAAAAAAAUAUUAUGUAUUUUUUAAUAUUUAAAUGGAUUUUUAUUUAUUUUAAACUGUUUAUUUAUUUUGAGACCCACUUCUAUCUCUCUUUCUUUAUUUGAUUUUUGUUCUUUUCUAAACCUUCUUAAUUUUAGCAGUGUUAUGGCACAUACAAAAAAUAAAUUUAAAUUAAAAUUUAAAUUUAUGAUUAAUGGAAUUUUGGAAUUUAUUGCUUAGCUUCUAUAUUAUUUAGUUAGUAUUUUUAUCGUUAAUUAUUGCUAAUUAAAUAUUAUAUUUUAAAAACAUUUUGUAGUGUUUUUAUAAUAAGUUUAUAAAUGAUAAUAAUAAUAAUAAUAAUAAUAAUAAUAAUAAUAAUGCUUUACUAUUUUCUUAUAUUUAAUUAAAUGUCCUUGUCCCUUUUGAACUACUCGACUUGGCUUAUAAGCAGUAGUUCCAGAGACUUGUUGUGGUUUGACCUUAGAUGCUUUGUCGCGGUCGCCCUCCAUUAAAUUGAUGAGUGGUCGACAAGGACUUCUGACCCCAUGUGAAUUUAGUAUCUUGUACUCGACUAGUUAGCUUUUUUAUUAGAUGCCGAGAGUAAUUUUCCAAAUUACUUUUCAAUUUAACGUACACGGAAAAGCUUUUGGCGCCCAUAUCCGAAUUCGCUGAAUUGGCAUAGGGCGUGAUUGGUUCCUCUAAAAUCACCUCUAAAAUUUUUUUUCGGUUGGAAAGUGAGAUUCCGAUGUUUGGUGGCUCGUCCGGAAAUUUUUUUUUACGGAUUCUUAGGAAAAGCAUGGUUUUCGUUUUCUAUUCGAAUCUAGCGGAAAACGAAAACGCACGGCGUUGCGCGGCGUAACGCCGCGCGGAGAAAAAGCACGGUCCACCAGGUCCGCUCCACCUCGUGGACUGCAUGAGGAAGGUCCAUGAUGGACCUUGUGCGCGGCUUUGCGCGCGCUUCGCGGGAGUAAAAAGGCGCAGUCCACGAGGUCCACUCCACCUCGUGGACCGCGUGAGGAGAGGUCCAUGAUGGACAUCUCUUUCUGCCCCUCUUAUAUAUAUAUAUAGAGAGAGAGAGAGAAAGAGUUGAGUUAGAAUACUCUCAAAAGCACUAAGAGAUUGGUGUUUUUGAGUUUUUAAUCAUUGGAUGGAGAGAUGUGAGGUUGGGAUGAUGGCGGUAGGUGAUGGUAGGUGAAAUAGUGUUUGAUCUAAAGGUUAUUAGUAAUUAAGAAGUGGAUCUGAGAGUUAAAAACUUAGAAGUACUAAGGGGUUGGUGAUUCUAAAAAUAUUUUAGCUCAAUUCUAUAUGUAUAUAUUAUUUAUAAGUAUUGUUUACAAAUUUAUUUUAUAGUAUUAUAUAUAUAUAUAUAUAUAUUUAAUAUAUACGCUAUUAUAUUAUAGAAUAAUUUCAUAGAUCCCUUCUAGAUACUCUAUUAAUUCACCAAUACCCUUCUUAAAAUUGAUAAACACAAAUACCCACCCUCCAAUAUGUUUUAAAAUAUCAUAAAUCCUCCUCAUCAGUUAAAAUCCGUUAAAUAAUCCAUCUGAAAAGAUUUAAAUUUUCAAAUCCAUUUUUCUUACUCCUUUAUUCCUUAUUAAUAGUAGAGGAAUACUAAUAUGUAUUUUCAAGAUAUUAUUGUAAAUCUAAAUUGAAUGUAUAUUAAUAUAUACAUAUUAAAAUAAAUUAUUAAUAUAUAUUUAAUUAUUAAAAAAAUAUAAAAAAUUAUAUUAUUAAUAUAGUAUGUUUUUAUCUGAUUUUGUUUUGUUUUUAAGUUUUGGAAUUUCGUCAGGUUUCAGUAGUAAUAGUAAUUUUGAAUAAAUUAUAAGAUUUUUUUUUUCCUAUUUAAUCAAAAGUAAAUCACCAUAACUAUUAUCAAGCAUUGUUCCGUGAUUGAAACAAAAAGAAGUUUUGUCAAAAAAGCUAAAUAUAUAUUUAUAUUAGUUUUUUAAUUGAUUUAAUGCAGAUAAAAUUAUCCAAUAUUUGAUUAAAAAAAAUUUUAAGCUUCAACAUUAAAGAAAUAUCGGAUAAUUUCCAUAACAUAUUUUAUUAAAUUUUAUAUAUUAAUUAUUUAUUCGACAAAUAUAAAUAAGCCACUAAUUGUUAAAAUUAUCAAAAAAACUACAAACUCUCAUUUUUCAUACACUGAAAUUAGUUAUAUCUUUUAAAAAACUAAAAGCUAAUGGGAAUAUUCAAACUGAAAAAAAAAAAUAAAGUUAAGAGCCAUAUUUGAAAAUGGCAUAUAGUUGAGGGGUCUCCAUACAUUUUAACUUAAGAAAAUACUUAGGGUAAAUAAGUCAUUUAAAAUUAACCUUAUUUUAAACAUUAAUAUCUAUGGUAAAGCUAACAUAACUAAUAUAAGGUGGUAUUGAUAUAAUUUUUGUGUUUAAAGGAAAUGGGUGAUAUUUUAAAUUUUAUAGGGGCAUCUAUGAUAUUUUAGACUUUGGGAGGGGUAUCCAUGAAAUUGCCCCAUUAUUAUAUUAUAUACUUAUUGUAUAAUAUAUUUUAAAUAUAUUUUAUUUACAAAUAUAAAUUAUAAUAUUAAUAUAUAAUAAUAUAUAAAAUAAAAAAAAUAUAUAUAUAUAUAAUAAUUUUUUAUUUAUAAUUAAUUUUUUCUUUCUUUUUCUUUCUUUUCCUUUCAACCAAACAACCGUAAUAGAAAAUUACUUUUUUUUCCUACAAACCAAAUACUAAGAGCGUAAAAUUAUUUUCCUCUGAAAACUUUUUUUCUACCGAAAAUUUUUUUUUCUGCAGUUUUACGAGGAAGCAAACAACCCCAUACCCAUAGAAUAUUAUUACUGUGAGAGUGCGUUUGGUUCGCGUGGUAUAACAUUAUGAAUUAUUUCGUCAUAAUUAAGUAUCUGAAAAUUUUGAAUCAGAUUACUAUUAGUACUGUAUUAUAGUCUUUGGUUUAAGGCAGUAAUAUAAUACUGGAUUGGAGUGUAUAUAAAAUUACUAUAUUUAAUUUGGUUUAUAAAAUUUAAUAAUUUUAAUAAUAAAAUAUAAUCAUCAUACAGUCUGUUCCUAGCGCAAGUAGCAAAUGACUUGAUGAUUGGCACCUAAGGUUCCAAACUUGAAUUUUUAUUGAUUCACAUUUUUAGCUAAAUUUAUUAUUUUAAAAAAUAAAUGAGCUACCCUUCUACCCUUCUCUCUCAAAAACAAAAUAUAGUCAUCCUACAAAAAGGACAUAAAUAUAGACAUCUACAAAAAGGACAUAUUGAAGGAGUUUAAGAGAGAUUGGAGGAAUAAAUUUAUAAUUUUAUGUAAUAUACAGUAAUCUAGUAUCAUUUUUAAGAUUACACUACCGACCAGAUUACAGACUGAACAAACCAAAUGCAAUAAUUUUGAUAGAAUUACUUAUAAUUAUGCAGGAUAAACUGAACCAAACACGCCCUAGGAUAAUCUUACACUGUGAUGCACCUUACUUUUUCUUAAAAAAAAAAACUUAGUAGUUACCCAACUAGCACCAUAUUCAGUUGUUCGUGAGGUUUAAAUUUUUUCAACCCUUAUCGUCUGUUCCUCCUGUAAGUGGCAAAGAGUUUAGAGGUUGGUAUCCGAAAUCUCAAGUUUAAAUCAUGGUUGAUUUACAUUUCCAAUUAAAUUUAUUUUUUUAAAACGAAACAAGUAACAUGCUAUUUUUCUCUCUCAAAAAAAAAAAGAGAAAGAGUUCAACCCUUUUUCAAAAACUCUUUGUUCUCGUAAGCAAGCUCUACUCUUGAUAGAAUACCUAAAUAUUUUUUCUUUCUUCAGACAAACGAAAAAAAAACAAAAGAAAAAAGGCAUUGAAAGUAGUGGGUUUACUUAACUUGCUCACCGAUCGACCAAACACAAACCUACUGAAACCGACCCAGCAUGACCGCAACAGGAGAUGGGCGAACCCGACACGCCACUCUGGUCUGGGUCCGGCCCACUCCCACCACCCUACCUAUGAUAUGAUUGUAGUUAAAUAUUUUUUUUUUUUUUUUUUUUAAAACAAACAUAUGUUGCUGCUGUGGACGUUACAACACAGAUCAGUAAUCUGAGAUGGAAACGAGUCAACCGAAAAAACAGCUUCUCUCCUAAACUCUUUUAUUAAGUUAUUGUAUAGCCUUGCUUCUAGCUUUCUUUGCUUUUACUUCACUGUUUCAGCUAUUACUAGAGUUAGACGAUUUUUAAUAAAAAAUAAAAUAACUAGACUUUAAACUUAAAAUUUUGAAUACCAACUAUUAAAUUUUUGUUGCUGUAGAGUUGGAGGCGUUUUUGAAACCAUAAUUCAAACAACAAUACAAGUGCACUGGCUCAUCGCGCCCGCGUAUAUAUACUCUUAUGCCUGGUCUGGUAAUACAAUAGCUAAAAAUAUCUACUUUUAUAGUUUAAAAGACUCCACAAGAUUUAAAAGAUUGUAAUCUUUCCUCCUGCAAUACAUAAUUUUUUAAUUUUUAUUUUUUAAAUGUAAAAGCAGAUAAUCGAAAAAAACUUAAUCCCAAACUAAGCAGGUGAUUUUUCAUAAUAUAUAAGUGGGCCCUACAUGCAACAUUAAAUGUAUGCAAUUAAUAAUUAAUUAAUAUAUGGACCUCAAUGAUUCAAAACCACUCCCACCUUCUCUCACUGCUCCAAGGUACCAAAAUUGCAUUAAAUAAUGACGCCAAAAAGUACCAGAAUAAAUGCUUCUUUUUUUAAAAAAAAGAAAAGGCCAAAAUUUCAAAUUCUAAAUUGAUUGGUGAUUCCCGUGACCGUAGUCAAGUAAGAUAUAUUUAUUAAUUAAUUAAUUAAUUCAAAAUAUCUGAAAAAAAUCCAAUCAAAACUAUACAAAUAGUAAAAACUAAUGGUAAGAAAAAGUAGGAAUGUGCUUCGAAUUUAAAAUCGUUUCAAAAUCCAAAGAAUCUCAUCUCAUCCCCUCCACAUUUCCCAGAUCUCGAUCCGGGAACCAAACCCCUAGAUUUCGCCCCGUCGCCCCCAAUCCCGGGGCACAGAAACCCUAAAUCUUAGUGAAAUUGAGCACGGAUCGGGAGGAGGAGGGUGGGGCUUACGAUUACAUGGGGGGCGGAGCGUGGGCGAGGCCAUGGGCGGAGGGGUCGAGGUGGAGCGCGUCCUUGAUCUUGUGGAAGCCAUGGGCGAAGACGCCGAAGCCGAAGACGAAGCCCACGAGGAUGAUGCCGACGACGACGAGGAGGCAGAGGCAACACGAUCGGCUCGGGAAGCAGCACAUCUCCACCGUCCGCUCGAUCUCCCCCACCUCCGCCCAGCACGAAUCACGACGCGCACGAAGAGAGAGAGAGAGAGAGCGAGAGAGAGAGAGGGAGAGAGAGAAUAUUCGUUGUAUCGGUUAUAAACUUUUAAUCACAGGUUCUCGAGAUCUGUAUAUAUAAUAACGUGGAACGAUAGCUGUAACGUGGAACGAUGGGUCUGUACGGGUGCGUGUAUAAUUGUUUAUAUAUGCGGGGGCGAUGCGUUGGCCGUUGGAUUGGAUGUCGUUGAUGAGAUUCGGAUGCGAUUGUCGUAGAAUGGACGGUGGAUUAGGUAUUAUGUAAAAAGAGCAUUGAGAUGGUUUGAAGGGUGGGAGGAGUUGGUAAACAAUACUAUGGGACGCCGUAAAGGCCCACGAAAAACUCUGAAAAAAUUGUCCCUGCACCAGGUGUAUCGUACAUACCAUACACUAGCCUCAUUAAUGUUUAAUAAUUUUAUAUCUUUAAUUUAAAAACUAAAACCCAAGUUUGGUACGACAUAUAUCACCUACAAGAUCGAAUUAGUUUAUACGUGAUAAUUUCUUAUUUUUUAGAAAGAAAAAAAAAACUGUUAUCUGUGUGUUAUAUAAUUUUAGAAAUUUAUAAUAUAUAAAAAAAAACUUUUAUGCAAUUUAAAUAGAUCGAAAUUUUGAAAUUGCCUUCAAUUGAUCAAAAUAGAUAUUUUCUUUUGUUGGGUGUAAAAGAUAGCUUGCUAUCAUUUUAUACAGCAGGAAGAUUAACUAAGUUAUAUCACUGAGGCCACAAGGCCUCAGAAAGAAGAGAGAGCAAAGGCAAGACAAAAAGUAAAGCUAGCAAACAAGUAGCACAAUAAAAUACGACCUACAUAAGAUCUACUUAAUCUGGCACUCUUUCCAACUAUUUGUGCACGAUCUAGCCUCAAACAUAAGUUGACUCGAGUUAGUUUUGCUUUGCACCUGCAAACAUUCUAAUAGAAGUUUAGUAGUCUCGCAUUCAAUAAAUAGAUAAUUGAUUGCCUCUAAAUCUCCCUAGCAUAAUAUGCACCCUGCUCCCCCUGCUGUCCUUAGAGCAAGUGACAAAGGAUUUGGUUGUUGGUACCUGAGAUUCAAGUCCGAAUCCUAGUUGAUUCACAUUUCUAGCUAAAUUUAUUUCUAAAUGAAAUAAACGAAGCAGGUAGCGUGCUACCUAUCUCUCUCAAAAAAAAAAAAGAAAAAAAAAAGAGAGUUAGCGAGGCAAAAAUUUCAACUUUUAGCAGCUCAAAGAAUGUAGGAGAAAAAACUGAUAGUUCUUUAUUAAAAUCACAUGCCCAGACAUAUUCCACCUUAAUAAUAGGACCAAAUUUUUUGAACUAAUAUUCAAAAAUUUAUUACUCACAACUAAAGCCGACGUCAACAAUUCAAUGGUCUAUUUAAGCUCUUUAUUGCAAAUAAACACCUUAAAUUUGAUGUAAUAUCGAUCAAAGAUGAAUCACUUAUUUUAGUUCAAAAUAUCAAUCAAAUUCAUAUUUUUGGAUAUUCAAAAAAAAACAUUUACAUGCUAGCUUGGUUUGUUAAUAAGUUUAAAUUUUUCUGAUAAAAAUGAAAUAAUCCGUUACCGUUUGUAUCCUUUUGUUCUAUUUUGGUUGUUGUCAUGAUGAUUGUUCAUUUUACUCCCAUUCAGUUUUAAUGGAGAUUUCAAUUUUGGUUCGAUGUAAUUAGUCUCAUUAGUUUGAGUAAUAUACAUUUCCCAUCAAAACUUAGUGAAAAUUUUUGACCAACUAUUUUUUUAACAUGACAAGACAUUUUUAUACUCAAUGAAAUAUUAUAAAGUAAAAUCAAUAUUUUAUUUAAUUUAGAUAUAUUUCAAAAAUAUAUAACGAUAUUUUGCUUCUGUUCCAUACUUAACCUUCAAAUCCUUUAAGGGCAUGUUUGUUUUCAUGUAAAUAGACUUGGGUGGAAGUGGACUUUGGAUUGAAGUAGAGUUGGGGUGAAAUUUAAUUCACUUCUGCUGUUUGUUCUUAACUGUAAAAGUGCAGUUCUGCGAGUUCUGUUGUUUAUUUGGUAGGAAAUAGAUAACGUAAAAAGUGUAGCUCUCCACCCUCUGUAUACUUUCCUCCGAAGUGAUAUAAUUCUCAAUUUUAUAACUAAGUGAAUAAUAAAUUAUAAUAAAUAAAAAUUAAUAUAAUUAUAUAUUUAUAUAAUUAUAUAUAUGUAUAAUUAUAAAAUAAAAUUUUAAAAAAUUAUAUUAUUUGUUUGCAUAUAAAUUAUAAUGAUACAACAAAUAAAAUUCUAAAGUUAAAAAAUUAUUAACAUUUAACAAAUUAAAUUUUCAUCAUUUUCUAAAUAUACAAAUUAAACAAAAAAAUAUAUUAAAACUUACCUAACCAAAUUUGAUCAUAUUUAAGACAUAUAAUCAAAAUAAAAAAUUUUAAUUACUUCCACAAUUGAAUAUAUUUGGAUGAAAUGAAACUAGUAUUGUUCAAAAUAUCACACCCAAAAUAACAAAAUAUAUUGUGCAUAUNCAAAAUAUCACACCCAAAAUAACAAAAUAUAUUGUGCAUAUCAUUAUCACACCAAAAAUAAUAAUAUCACAUCCAAAAUGUAUGGUUACGUCCAUACCAGAAUUUUUUUUUUUUUUUUUUAUGGUGUCUGUUGAGAAAAAAAAAUGGCGAUGUGGAGUUGGAUCUGGGACUCGGCAGAGGAAAGGGUAGAAAAGAGGAUAACCCUAACACAUCAAUUCCCACUCUUGCCUCUUUUCACCUCACCGAAAUUGACUUCGCCUCAUGGGAAGAAGAAGUCAAUUUCAUUAUUUUGGAUGAACUAGACUUUCGGGCGUAAUAAAAUUACGGUAAACCAAACAACGGAAGUGGUCAAUUUUUACCGAAAAUUACUUUCCCCUUCCCACUUCCACCCCACUUCAGUGCAAACAAAUAUAUCCUAAGUAACUGGAUCUAGAUCCUAAUUUCCAUAUUGAUCCCCAAUACGAAUCCAAUGUAUCAGGUGAGUCAAACUUAGCUCAAGAAAUUAGCACACACGACACACCUAAAUGGGAAUUUAAAGUCUUUCUAUUGAUCUCGGUGGCAACGUUGACGCUCGGAUAGAUGUGAUUGUAAUUUGACUUUAAAAUGAAACUAGUAAAAAAUACACCUAAUUGUGGCCUAUGUUUCUAUUCAUUUCAUUUACGACAAUUUCGAACCUUACCAAGUCAAAGCUGUUUUAAAUAAAAUAGUUGUAAACUUAAAUUAUGGCUAAAUUACGAUUAGUUUAACAUAAACGCGCGUGCUAAGUUACAUGUUUUCAUCCAAUGAAUUAAUCAAAAAGCUAAAACCAUACUGGGAUCCGAAUGAUGUUAAUUGGUACUUUAUUAAAGAAACUUUAUUAGCUUUAUUGCUUCCUUAAAAAUUUUCCCAUCCAAUAAAAUGUUCUUCUUUAAGCUUCUUUUGUUUAGCUCUGACCCUUAUUUAUAGCUGUGCUUUGUCCUUUUUAACUCUUCUUUAAUUCUCACAACAUAUAUAAUAGGGAUAAUUAUCUAUAUACCCCACAUACGUUUGAAAAUAUCCGAUUUAUCCGUACUUUCUUUUUCUUUCUAAAAUAACUCCUCAUAUGUUCCACCGUUAUUGCAAAAUACCCCCGCAGUUAUCUCUUGUUAAGUUAAGUUGGAUUAAACGUGAGUUAAAUAUCUACCACAGUUUAAAAAAAUUAAAAUGCCAAUUUUGCUAUUAACUUAAGAGCAAAUAAGAAAUGUUGGUGUAUAUUGAAAAAGACCAAAAAUCAAAAUACUUUUUGUGUCCCUGACUUUAAGGGCGAAUAAGAAAGUCAGUGAUGGUGGAAGGGUAUAUUUGAAAGACAAAAUAGUAAUUUUACAGAGAUAACAGAGUUAAUUAAUAAAUUUUAACUCUAGGGAUAUAUUAGAAAUAAGUUGUAACGUAAAAAGAAUAUUUUUAAUAUUAGCCUUCUAAGAUGGGUAAAUCGAAAAGUCGAGAACUUUUUAGGGGUACGUAAGCAAUUGCCCUAUAUAAUAUUAUAUCAAUCAAACUUAUAAGCCU